rnacentral:lncRNA from 1 species
UCCCACCUCUGUUGUUUGGGUUAAUGAUACUACUUUUUCAUGGCGGUCUUUGCCAGCACAAAAUUGGGAGGUGAGUUGAUGCAGUUGUUUGCUCCCACUUCCUGUCCUCCAUCAAUCAUGUUCAUUUCCCCCACUAUCCCCCAGUACCUGGCUUGACACCUGUGUACCUAGCUAAGCUACAGUUUCAGUUUAAUAAGGAAGUUCGUAUUCUUCCUACCCCCUCUGGCCCUUUCCACAGUCUGUAUUCAGUGGAAUCUGAGGCUCUUUUGCCAUAAAACAAGUUUUUUCUCCUGAUGGAGGCAGACCCCCUGUAUUUUACUGAAUUUCACUGAGUGGAGAAAGCAUUUCUGCUUACACUUUCCUGCUGUGUUCAGCCUUUACCCUUGAGGCUCAUAGUUAUGUAUAAGUACGGUAGUCAAUGGGAUGAAAAAUUUAUUAUUUUAUGCAGAUGUUUACAUUUGUUUUUCAUUUCCACCUCCCCUGCUCUCUUUAGUGACUUAUGUUGAUGAAGAUGAAGAUGAAAUACUUGAAUUAUCAUCAAAUCAAACAUUCUUGGUCUCACUGAAGAUUCCAGAGGAGUGUGCUGCUGAAGAGGAUUUGCGUCACCUGCUCACCGAAAGGGUAAUUCCAUCUUACGUAUGGCUUAAGGAGUUCUUUGUUGUGUCUUAAUCAAGAAAUUCCCCUUUUCAAAGUACAUUGGAUUUCUCUGCUCUGUUCUCUAGAUCCUCAUUUCACUUAAUACCUUCUUAGUUCUUCAUAAUUUUAGAUAUAUUUUCAUGUUUAUCUUGAGUUGUUUUGGCUUCUGCAUUCCCAUUGAGAAAGAUAAUUUAACAAUUAACAUUUUCUCGUAUCUCAUUGCUUUGGCAUUUUUGUUGCUAAGUUUUCAUGAGACCCAUAUAAUAUAAACUUCCCCAUUUUUCCAUAAACUACAAUUUUUAUCUUGAUACUAAAAAAUUUUAAUGCUAUUUAAGGAGAAGGGUGCUACUUUGUUGAAUUCCUGUAAUCAUGGGAAAAUUUUUUCCUCUCACAUUAUUAAAUGUGGUUGCUAUCCCUUUCUAGUAUACCCCCAAAACAAAACAGUGUUUAAUAUUCAAAACUGAUCAUGCAGAGAGAAUGCCUGCUACAGAACCUAGAAAUCUUUGAUCAUAUAUUUCGGUUAAGGAAGUUAGUGAUUCUCAGUAGUGUUCAG